GACGAACGCUGGCGGCGUGCUUAACACAUGCAAGUCGAACGAAGAGCGACGGAAGCUUGCUUCUAUCAAUCUUAGUGGCGAACGGGUGAGUAACGCGUAAUCAACCUGCCCUUCAGAGGGGGACAACAGUUGGAAACGACUGCUAAUACCGCAUACGAUCUAACCUCGGCAUCGAGGAUAGAUGAAAGGUGGCCUCUACAUGUAAGCUAUCACUGAAGGAGGGGAUUGCGUCUGAUUAGCUAGGUGGAGGGGUAAGGGCCCACCAAGGCGAUGGUCAGUAGCAGGUCGGAGAGGAUGAACGGCCACAUUGGGACUGAGACACGGCCCAGACUCCUACGGGAGGCAGCAGUGGGGAAUCUUCCGCAAUGGACGAAAGUCUGACGGAGCAACGCCGAGUGAGUGAUGACGGCCGUCGGGUUGGAAAGCUCUGUUAAUCGGGACGAAAGGCCUUCUUGCGAAUAGUGAGAAGGAUUGACGGUACCGGAAGAGAAAGCCACGGCUAACUACGUG
rnacentral:rRNA from 1 species